rnacentral:rRNA from 1 species
CUCCGGUUGUUCCUGCGGAACCCGACUGCUAUCAGAGUGGGACUAGAGCCAUGCGAGUCAACGUAGCAAUACGUGGCAUACGGCUCAGUAACACGUAGUCAACAUGCCCAGGGGACGAGGAUAACCUCGGGAAACUGAGGAUAAACCUCGAUAGGCCAUGAUUUCUGGAAUGAUUCUUGGCUCAAACCUAUAUGGCCCCUGGAUUGGACUGCGGCCGAUCAGGCUGUUGGUGAGGUAAUGGCCCACCAAACCUAUUACCGGUACGGGCUCUGAGAGGAGGAGCCCGGAGAUGGGCACUGAGACAAGGGCCCAGGCCCUAUGGGGCGCAGCAGGCGCGAAACCUCUGCAAUAGGCGAAAGCUUGACAGGGUUACUCUGAGUGAUUUCCGCUAAGGGAAUCUUUUGGCACCUCUAAAAAUGGUGCAGAAUAAGGGGUGGGCAAGUCUGGUGUCAGCCGCCGCGGUAAUACCAGCACCCCGAGUGGUCGGGACGAUUAUUGGGCCUAAAGCAUCCGUAGCCGGUCCUGCAAGUCUUCCGUUAAAUCCAGCUGCUCAACAGAUGGGCUGCGGGAGAUACUACAGGGCUAGGAGGCGGGAGAGGCAAGCGGUACUUUAUGGGUAGGGGUAAAAUCCGCUGAUCCAUAGAAGACCACCAGUGGCGAAGGCGGCUUGCCAGAACGCGCUCGACGGUGAGGGAUGAAAGCUGGGGGAGCAAACCGGAUUAGAUACCCGGGUAGUCCCAGCUGUAAACGAUGCAGACUCGGUGAUGGGUUGGCCUCGCGCCUGCCCAGUGCCGCAGGGAAGCCGUUAAGUCUGCCACAUGGGGAGUACGGUCGCAAGACUGAAACUUAAAGGAAUUGGCGGGGGGAGCCA